CCUACGGGAGGCAGCAGUAGGGAAUGUUCGUCAAUGGGCGCAAGCCUGAACGAGCAAUGCCGCGUGAAAGAGGAAGGUCUUCGGAUCGUAAAGGUCUGUUGAAGGGGAAAAAGAGCGGAGAGAGGAAAUGCUUUCUGAUUGAUAUUACCCUUCGAGGAAGGCACGGCUAACUACGUGCCAGCAGCCGCGGUAAGACGUAGGGGGCGAGCGUUAUCCGGAAUGAUUGGGCGAAAGGGGUGCGUAGGCGGCCUGCUAAGUCUGGGGUGAAAGGUACCGGCUCAACGGGUACCGGCUCUGGAACCUGGCGGGCUAGAGUGCAGGAGAGGGCGGUGGAACUCCAUGUGUAGCGGU
rnacentral:rRNA from 1 species